rnacentral:rRNA from 1 species
AGUGAACGCUGGCGGUAGGCCUAACACAUGCAAGUCGAACGGCAGCACAGUAAGAGCUUGCUCUUACGGGUGGCGAGUGGCGGACGGGUGAGGAAUACAUCGGAAUCUACUUUUUCGUGGGGGAUAACGUAGGGAAACUUACGCUAAUACCGCAUACGACCUACGGGUGAAAGCAGGGGAUCUUCGGACCUUGCGCGAUUGAAUGAGCCGAUGUCGGAUUAGCUAGUUGGCGGGGUAAAGGCCCACCAAGGCGACGAUCCGUAGCUGGUCUGAGAGGAUGAACAGACACAGUGGAGCUGAGCAACGGACCAGACUCUACGGGGAGGUAGCGGUGAGGAAUAUGUGGUAGUGGCGGAGCGCUCGAUCACCCCAUGGCGGUGUGUGGAAGCGGGCUGUCGGAUUGUAAAGCCUUUUGGAUGGAAAAGAAAAGCACCAGUGUCACACCCGGGUGUUCCGACGCAACCCAAAGAAUAAGCACCGGUAACCUUCGUGCCAGCGGCCUCGGUAAUAUGCGGAAGAUCACAGGUCUGAAC